rnacentral:lncRNA from 1 species
AACUGAUAAAUCAGAAUCUAGAAAGUGUGGAGUUCUGAUUGAAAAUAAUCCUAGGCCAAAGGAAUAAUAAGUGUGGGGCCAGAGGCACUUUCUAUGGAGUGUUGACUAAGAGAACAAGAAUGAAAUUGAAAGACGGGGAAGCUAUCAGUGAAAAUACACUGUUCUUGGGCCCAAAACUAACUGGAUAUAUGGAUGCAAGCAAAA